UUGAGGGAAUAAGGUCUCCGGAGCUAAAUUCUAGGUUUCCACGAUGUUUAGAGCCUUAACAGAGUCCCUGGGGAGGGUCCGGGCUUCGAGCGGCUGUGUGGGAGGGGCACUGUGUGUAUGGGGGCAGUGGUGCAGGAAGACAUGGCCAAGACUCACGAGGAGGCAGCUGGGAGGCAACCGAAGUGAAGCAGGAGCGAGCUGAACCCUGCCAAGUAGCGGUAGGAGAGACGGGAGUUGGAUUUUGGGAAGUAAACUAAUUUCUUCAUCUCUGCAGCUCUUUAGGCCAUGAAAUGCCCCCUCCCCCAUCUGUAAGUGUCCUUGGAGCGGUGGGAGCAGGGGUCUCCGCCGCGCUGGGGGCUGCCUAUUCUGAAGAGGCCUGCUGGGCUUGCCUAGGACAGGUUCAGAGUAACAAGUAUGAGGAUGAUGUCUUCUGAGUAGUUAGAUUUAUUGAAUAUUUACUCUGUGCCAGACGCUAUUCCAAGGGCUCCAUGGACCUUCACGACAACUCACGGAACCGAUGUUACCAUCCCGAGGAUAGAGUUUGUCCUGAUCCAAGUCACAUUAAAUCAUAUUCAACUGAUUUCCUACCCAUAUGUGACACGUGGAGUAACCUUAGAGAGAGGUCCCCAUUGCCCCUGGAACAGAUGCUCUACGGCGGCCUAAGCAUGGAAAAGGAGAUUGAAGACAGAUGGAAGAGAAGAUUAUAUUGUCAGACACGGUUACGGUACUUAAAAAUAAAAAAAGAAUCAGUAAGCUCCCAGACACUUGGAGCCUGAUUUGCACCAUUGCCACACCCCAAGGACCCCAAGGACUUGUGGCUGGAGAAGUGUAAACACCAGACAGAGCACCAGGUCCUGUCUGAAACCAGCCUUUUGGCCUCCCACUCAGUGUCCCCUAAGGUAAUCCCCACUGUCAUGAAGGCCAAAGGCGCCAGCCCCACCCUCCCCCAACGCAAACUGUCCUGUUCCUCGGGCCUUUCACCAAGCGGCUCCCUAUGCCUCCUCUAGAAUGCUUCCCUGUCUCCUCUCCACACAGGCAAAUCUUGUCUGCUUUCAGGGUCCUGUUCAAAUGCCAGCCAACUUAAGUCUAGGCCCUGAUAUUCACCCCCAUUGAGUAAGUGUCUUAAAACAUAUACUUUCAUUCACAUUAAGGCAUUUGUGUCUCUUGAUACAAGGCAGUUAUCCUCACCCUUUACUCCUGAGGAAACAGGACUUCGGAUAGGUUACAUGUUCGGGUCACAGAGCAACUGUGAGAACCUGGGAUCUGUGGGACUUGGAUUUGCUGACUGCAGGUCAGAAAUCCUUCAGAAUCCCGCUAAAUCCUACCCCUCCCCUCCCAGAAGACAUUGUCUCCUAGAGAACCGCCCUCCCCUUUUGUCACAAUCUGACUGCAGGGAUUUCUAUGUUUUACUCGCCAUCUUGGCCACAUCUGGGUACCCUCAAUAGUGUUGAUAUUUUUCUUCAGUGCAUUUUUCUUCACAGAAAGAAGCAUAUCUGAGAAGGAAACUAAAUGUCAGUGUGAUAAAUUAAAAAUUGCUUGUUACUGGGGUGCCGGGCUGGCUCAGUCAGAAGAGCAUCCAAUUCUUGAUCUCAGGGUUGUGAAUUUGAGCCCCACAUUGGGUGUAGAGAUUACUUAAACAAAUAAGACUUUAAAAAUAAGAAAAUUGCUAGUUAUAAGUGUAAAAAUAAAUACAAGGCAAAAGUAACUCUAAAUGGUUCAAAGACCUAACACUAUAAACUUUUAGAAGAAAACUUAGGGGUAAAUCUUCAUGACCUUGGAUUUGGCAAUGGUUUCUUAGAUAUAAUACCAAAAAUACAAGCAACAAAAGAAAAAAAAUAGGUAAAUUGGACUUCAUCAAAUUAAAAAACUUUUGUAGGGCGCCUGGGUGGCUCAGUUGGUUAAGCGACUGCCUUCGGCUCAGGUCAUGAUCCUGGAGUCCCUGGAUCGAGUCCCGCAUCGGGCUCCCUGCUCGGCAGGGAGUCUGCUUCUCCCUCUGACCCUCCCCCAUCUCAUGCUCUCUCUAUCUCAUUCUCUCUCUCAAAUAAAUAAAUAAAAUCUUUAAAAAAAAAACCAAAAAACUUUUGUACAUCAAAGGAAACUGUCAAGAAAGUAAAGACAACCACAGAAUGGGAGAAGAAACUUUAGCAAACCAUGUAUCUGAUAAAGCACUAGUACCCAGCAUAUAUAAAAAACUGUAGGGGCGCCCGGGUGGUUCAGUCG